rfam:Planktothrix tepida PCC 9214 isolate BBR_PRJEB10993 genome assembly, scaffold: BBR_B_PL9214_scaffold46
GUCAGCACCCCGCUCUAAAGAGACGGGUCUUCGUGCCUCCCCUUUAGGUAGCUGACCAGCCUAAGCCUUAACUGGCUACGUUAUCUGAGUCAAGAUACCCACAAAUGCGUCGCUAGUUUGUGGCUCUAUCGUCAAUCAUUAAACAGUUUUACGAGGGGUAAGACAGUGUGGUUGGCCUAACAAGCUCAGAUAACAUUGGCGAAGCGAACAUUAC